rnacentral:misc_RNA from 1 species
UUAAAUAUUUAUUUUAACUCAGACAACAUCAUUAUAAAGAUUUUUUGUUGGGCUUCGGUAGGUACUUUAUCCCACCGAAGCAACAUAAAAACGCUUGGUGGUAUACAAGGGGUUGGAGGUUGGGCCAUAAAGACCCUAACUCGGUAAUGAUCCUUCCGCAGGUUCACCUACGGAAA